CCACACACAUCGACGCCGGCGACUUUCCACCACCGUCGAGAACCCUCCCGUCCCAGGACCAGAUCCCUCUCUCAACGCAAACGAAUGGCGCCUUUCCACCGCCGUCGAAGACCCUCCCUCCCCUUUUCUCGACACCGUCUCUCAACGCAAACGAUCCCUCCCCCUUUCUCGCCGACGCAGGUAAUAACCCAACCCCUCUUUUUUUUCUUUAAAAUGAUGAAAUUAUCCAUGGGUGUUGGAUUUCGAUUGUUAUAAUGGGUGUUGGAUUAUUAAGCCAAGAUUUUUGAUGUGUUUUGUAUGGCUAAUUUAUCUUGGGUGUUGGAUUUCGAUUGUUAUGUUGCUCAGUUUGCUUGAAUUUAGCUGUUUGAAGGAUGGUUGUUGAUCUGCGGUGCACGGAUCUGGGUUAAUUAUGUAGGAUUUAUGGCUUUAGUGACAUGAAUGCAGAUUUGGUUGAUAAAUUUAGACCACAAAUCAAAUAUACGUUUGCAUUGUAGUUAGGUUCAAACUAUUUCAAUUUGCCCUACUGAUCAUGUCCCGGACCAGCUCCUCAGUUUUUGUUGCAAUGAAAGAACACUUGGAAAUGAUGUUCUAAUUGAUAUUCCAGGAUUUUUGACUCCUUUGCUCAAGUAAUUUUAGCCAGCGAAGUUACAGGAUAAGUGUUUAAAGAAAUCAGGAGCUUAUCUGCAUGAAGCUAGAGCAAUUUUGCAAGAAUUUUGCAGAGAAGGCCAUCCUUGUAAUGGAACAAUGAUAAGGUACAUGAUAAUGAGAAGGAUUGCUCGGUAUGUAAAAAGGCGGUCAGGGAGCUAAUUAGGAGGUUGAAGCAGCCUAAAAUGAGGGUAA